rnacentral:rRNA from 1 species
UACGUAGGGUGCGAGCGUUAAUCGGAAUUACUGGGCGUAAAGCGUGCGCAGGCGGUUAUUUAAGUCAGGUGUGAAAGCCCUGGGCUUAACCUAGGAAUUGCGCUUGAGACUGGAUAGCUUGGAGUGUGGCAGAGGGAGGUGGAAUUCCACGUGUAGCAGUGAAAUGCGUAGAUAUCGAGAGGAACACCAGUGGCGAAGGCGAGUCCCUGACAACUCCUGACACUAAGGCACGAAAGCUAGGGGAGCAAACAGG